rnacentral:rRNA from 1 species
GGAAGUAAAAGUCGUAACAAGGUCUCCGUUGGUGAACCAGCGGAGGGAUCAUUACCGAGUUAUACAACUCAUCAACCCUGUGAACAUACCUAAAACGUUGCUUCGGCGGGAACAGACGGCCCCGUAACACGGGCCGCCCCCGCCAGAGGACCCCCUAACUCUGUUUCUAUUAUGUUUCUUCUGAGUAAAACAAGCAAAUAAAUUAAAACUUUCAACAACGGAUCUCUUGGCUCUGGCAUCGAUGAAGAACGCAGCGAAAUGCGAUAAGUAAUGUGAAUUGCAGAAUUCAGUGAAUCAUCGAAUCUUUGAACGCACAUUGCGCCCGCCAGUAUUCUGGCGGGCAUGCCUGUUCGAGCGUCAUUACAACCCUCAGGCCCCCGGGCCUGGCGUUGGGGAUCGGCGAGGCGCCCCCUGCGGGCACACGCCGUCCCCCAAAUACAGUGGCGGUCCCGCCGCAGCUUCCAUUGCGUAGUAGCUAACACCUCGCAACUGGAGAGCGGCGCGGCCACGCCGUAAAACACCCAACUUCUGAAUGUUGACCUCGAAUCAGGUAGGAAUACCCGCUGAACUUAAGCA